rnacentral:lncRNA from 1 species
AUGGCCGAGCCACUGCCUGGCACCGAGGAGGCCCCUUGUGAAGCGGAGGUUGUAGAGAUUGCUGCCGAAAUGGUUGCUGUUUCUGAGGAGCCUACAGCAGAGGCUGAAACCUCCAACGCAACCGAGAGCUCUGUGCUGCCAGUGUCUGAUCUGCUGAGCACCAUGAAGAUCAUGGUCGGCUCCACAGUGGAGAUAGCUGCCGCAUCUGUUGGAGACAGGCGGAUGGUUUCAGCUGUUCGGAUGCUGGAGGAGAAGCCUUCACUUGCAGUGGAGCUCCCUGAUGUUGAUGACGUACACAAAAUGCAGGAUGAAGCAGUCCCUUCAGACAAACAGGAUGAGCCCAAGGAACAAGAGUUCCCAGCCACUGUGGAAAUGGCAGCACAGUACUAUAACACAGAGGAAGCAUAUCUUGCAGUCAGGGAAGCAAGCUCAGAAGACGAGUCAGGGAUGGAUGUUGAAGAAGUGAAGCUUGUGGAAACUGCACAUACAGGAGCUGCCUUUGAGGCAGAACAGACAGAAAGUGUGGAGCAUUUUGCCUCUUCCACAGAUAACACUUCUGAGGCAACAGCAGAAGAUCACAAGAUGCACUGCCACUCCUGCCAUGGGGCAGACCCUGCCACUGAAGAUUCCGAACAAGAACCCACACACUUAGAGGUGUCGAUGGUUGAAGAAAUUACAGCCAGAACAGAUACAUUAGAGGCAGAUCACAAGAACCUGACUGUGGCUAAGAUCAAGCACAUGGAGGCCAUGGUUGACACUCCAGCAGAAGAAACAAAGGAGACAGCCAGGGGCAUAAAAACUGGCUGCAGUCUGAUGUAAAUAGUCCAGCAUUAAGAGGUGGCGUCUCAGUGAUGGCAACAGUACAGCUGUGAGGAGGAUGUGCCUUUCAGAAAAUACCUUCACUGCAGUCAUAAAGGAUUUCCCAUGGAUUUAAAGGAUUUUUCCAACUCUCUCUUCAGUCUUCAUUACAAUAUAAAUCAAAACAUCACAUCUGUUUUACUGUAAAAUUAGGCUCAUGGAUGCCCUUCCGAGCAUAUUCUCAUAAUUUUCAUAUAGUCAUGUGUAAUAUGCUGCUAGUUGCUUAUGUCUAACCCAGCAUACACAGAAGGAUGUUAAAGGGAAAAAUGCACAUAUGCAAAUAACUAUAUAUAGUGCAUGUAUCUAUUUAUCUAUUCAACAGUAAUUUAUUUCAUAGAGGUAUUAAACUAUAUUAUAUAUGUUAGGUGUGAAAUAAUCCUUUCUGCAAUUUCUUAGUCAUGAAGUGUUUGCUUGUGUGUUUAAAGCUCCUUAAAAUGCUCUUAACCUUAAUAUAUAUACAUAUACACACUCAUUAAUUACUUUAAUGUGUUUUGAGUUGGCUUAAAUGUGUAGUUCCUCUGAUGGUUCAUAUUUUGUUUAAAUAAAGGCGUGGAAUUGGU